rnacentral:lncRNA from 1 species
CUUAACUGAGUCACACCAAGCUAAACACAAACCGCCACCAUCUUUAGUAGUGGGAGGUACCAAAUCCCAAAAGGAGAAAUAAGAGGCGUCUAACCAACUGACAAGCCUUUUAGUCGUGCAUUUGGUUUCCAUGAGAAAUAAAACGUUAGGUGCCCCGGGUCAAGUUUGACAGAAAUUGAACUGUAAGGGGUUGACCCAUCCCCCUACAGUUCCAGCUUAAAAUCCUCAUGGGGCAUGAGGUGGCUGUUCUGGGACAACCACCUGCAAACCCAUAGCAGAUAAGUCAAAAUGGCUCAGAGUGAGACUGUCCAGGUUAGAGCCAAGUUCACCAGAUAGAUAGGCAUGCCCAAUUGGAUUGGAGCCUGACAAAUGGUGAGCGAAGACCAGAACUUAGGCAAGGGAUCCGUCCGAUGGCGUCUGCAACAGCAAUUAGAUUCUGCCUCCGCUUGAGCUUUCCUCUUCGUGCCUCGAAGAGUUGGGAGUUCAGCUUGGUGACCGAGCAUUUGGAAAGUGGCAUCCGGUGGACAUGAAGACCCCGUUAGGAGCAUUUUCUUCAUUAUGUCUAUUGUUCAUAAAUUAGAAAACAAUAUUAAUAAUGUCUUG